UUCUAUUAUACUUAAUUAAUAGUAUAAUCUGCUCAAUGAAACUAAUAAAUAGCCGCAUUUGUGCUAAGGUAGCAUAAUCAUUUGUCUUUUAAAUGAAGUCUAGAACAAAAGAUCAAACAUUUUAAUUAAUUUCUUUAUUAUAUAAUCUCAAACUUAUUUUAAAUGUAAUAAAACAUUUAUGUAAAAGAAAGACGACAAGACCCUAUUGAACUUAACUAUAGUUAAACUGGGGUAGUUUAUUAAUUAUUAUUUUAAAUUAACAAUAAACAAAAUCCAUAAUAUGUUAAUUAUAUUCAGUUACCAUAGGGAUAACAGCAUAAUAAAUAUUAUAAGACCUUAUAUAAAUAAUAGAUUAUGACCUCGAUGUUGAAUUAAUUAUCUAUUUAAAGCAAAAAUUAAAUAAGAAAGUCUGUUCGACUUUUAAAAAUUUACA
rnacentral:rRNA from 1 species